UCUCCAACAGUUGAGAGAAUGGCUGAAAUGGGGAGAACUGUACUACGAGACCAAGGGAUCACUGAUAUGUCUGGCACAAGGCUGGGCUUCCACAAACCUCCCUACAUCUCAGUGGAUCACCUCCACCUCCACGUGCUCGCUCCAACCAACCAAAUCUCAGAAUACAUGAUUUAUAAAUUCAUACCAGGGACCAGAUCUUUUAUUACUGAGGAAAAUCUAUGCAAGCACCUACAGAAAAAUUCUUCAAUACUGCAGCACUUUAAAAGGCAAAUCACACGAAAACAGUGUAAAGAUGAUUAAAGAUGGCUUAUUUAAAUUAUUUUUAUUACUACCUGUUUGAUGUAUUUUGUUCAAAGCAGAUUUAUUUGGGAAAACAGGAUGCACCAUGUAUGCAUUCGAUUAUAUGAAAUAAUAUUGGUAAUAAAG